AUUGAACGCUGGCGGCAGGCCUAACACAUGCAAGUCGAGCGAGCGGCGGACGGGUGAGUAAUGUAUGGGGACUGCCCGAUAGAGGGGGUUAACUACUGGAAACGGUGGCUAAUACCGCAUACUAUCGGAUAACCCAUAUGGGCUUAGCUAGUAGGUGGGGUAAAGGCUCACCUAGGCGACGAUCUCUAGCUGGUCGGAAGGGAUGAUCUGCCCCAUGGGGACGGGAACAGGGCCCAGCCACCUACGGAGGCAGCAGAGGGGAAUAUUGCAGAAUGGGCGCAAGCCUGAUGGAGCCAUGCCGCGUGUAAGAAGAAGGACUUAGGGUUGUAAAGAACUUUCAACGGGGUGGCGUUACCCGCAGAAGAAGCAACGGCUAACUCCGUGCCAGCAGCCGCGGUAAUAC
rnacentral:rRNA from 1 species